AGCUUUGCGCAGUGGCAGUAUCAUAGCCAAUGAGGUUAAUCCAAGGCGUGAUUAUUGCUAGUUGAAAACUUUUCCUGCUGGAAUAACACCAGGAGAAUGCUCUCUAAGGGAUGUGGAAAUCUAAGAAUGUAUAGA
ensembl:snRNA U4 U4 spliceosomal RNA